UGAACGCUGGCGGCAUGCCUUACACAUGCAAGUCGAACGGCAGCACGGGUGCUUGCACCUGGUGGCGAGUGGCGAACGGGUGAGUAAUACAUCGGAACAUGUCCUGUAGUGGGGGAUAGCCCGGCGAAAGCCGGAUUAAUACCGCAUACGAUCUACGGAUGAAAGCGGGGGACCUUCGGGCCUCGCGCUAUAGGGUUGGCCGAUGGCUGAUUAGCUAGUUGGUGGGGUAAAGGCCUACCAAGGCGACGAUCAGUAGCUGGUCUGAGAGGACGACCAGCCACACUGGGACUGAGACACGGCCCAGACUCCUACGGGAGGCAGCAGUGGGGAAUUUUGGACAAUGGGCGAAAGCCUGAUCCAGCAAUGCCGCGUGUGUGAAGAAGGCCUUCGGGUUGUAAAGCACUUUUGUCCGGAAAGAAAUCCUUGGCUCUAAUACAGUCGGGGGAUGACGGUACCGGAAGAAUAAGCACCGGCUAACUACGUGCCAGCAGCCGCGGUAAUACGUAGGGUGCGAGCGUUAAUCGGAAUUACUGGGCGUAAAGCGUGCGCAGGCGGUUUGCUAAGACCGAUGUGAAAUCCCCGGGCUCAACCUGGGAACUGCAUUGGUGACUGGCAGGCUAGAGUAUGGCAGAGGGGGGUAGAAUUCCACGUGUAGCAGUGAAAUGCGUAGAGAUGUGGAGGAAUACCGAUGGCGAAGGCAGCCCCCUGGGCCAAUACUGACGCUCAUGCACGAAAGCGUGGGGGAGCAAACAGGAUUAGAUACCCUGGUAGUCCACGCCCUAAACGAUGUCAACUAGUUGUUGGGGAUUCAUUUCCUUAGUAACGUAGCUAACGCGUGAAGUUGACCGCCUGGGGAGUACGGUCGCAAGAUUAAAACUCAAAGGAAUUGACGGGGACCCGCACAAGCGGUGGAUGAUGUGGAUUAAUUCGAUGCAACGCGAAAAACCUUACCUACCCUUGACAUGGUCGGAAUCCCGCUGAGAGGUGGGAGUGCUCGAAAGAGAACCGGCGCACAGGUGCUGCAUGGCUGUCGUCAGCUCGUGUCGUGAGAUGUUGGGUUAAGUCCCGCAACGAGCGCAACCCUUGUCCUUAGUUGCUACGCAAGAGCACUCUAAGGAGACUGCCGGUGACAAACCGGAGGAAGGUGGGGAUGACGUCAAGUCCUCAUGGCCCUUAUGGGUAGGGCUUCACACGUCAUACAAUGGUCGGAACAGAGGGUUGCCAACCCGCGAGGGGGAGCUAAUCCCAGAAAACCGAUCGUAGUCCGGAUUGCACUCUGCAACUCGAGUGCAUGAAGCUGGAAUCGCUAGUAAUCGCGGAUCAGCAUGCCGCGGUGAAUACGUUCCCGGGUCUUGUACACACCGCCCGUCA
rnacentral:rRNA from 1 species